UGGGGAAUAUUGCACAAUGGGGGAAACCCUGAUGCAGCGACGCCGCGUGAGUGAGGAAGUAUUUCGGUAUGUAAAGCUCUAUCAGCAGGGAAGAAGAAAUGACGGUACCUGACUAAGAAGCCCCGGCUAACUACGUGCCAGCAGCCGCGGUAAUACGUAGGGGGCAAGCGUUAUCCGGAUUUACUGGGUGUAAAGGGAGCGCAGGCGGCAUGAUAAGUCUGAUGUGAAAACCCAAGGCUCAACCAUGGGACUGCAUUGGAAACUGUCGUGCUGGAGUGUCGGAGAGGUAAGCGGAAUUCCUAGUGUAGCGGUGAAAUGCGUAGAUAUUAGGAGGAACACCAGUGGCGAAGGCGGCUUACUGGACGAUGACUGACGCUGAGGCUCGAAAGCGUGGGGAGCAAACAGG
rnacentral:rRNA from 1 species